rnacentral:tRNA from 1 species
GUUGUCGUUCAGUGGUAGAGUGCUUGCCUGACAUGUGUGAGGCACUGGGUUCAAUUCUCAGGACCACA